UACGUAGGGAGCAAGCGUUAUCCGGAUUUAUUGGGUGUAAAGGGUGCGUAGGCGGUCCUGCAAGUCAGAAGUGAAAUCCAUGGGCUUAACCCAUGAACUGCUUUUGAAACUGUGGGACUUGAGUGGAGUAGAGGUAGGCGGAAUUCCCGGUGUAGCGGUGAAAUGCGUAGAGAUCGGGAGGAACACCAGUGGCGAAGGCGGCCUACUGGGCUCUAACUGACGCUGAGGCACGAAAGCGUGGGUAGCAA
rnacentral:rRNA from 1 species